AUAUCAACAAAUUACUGUUUACUUUGGGGCAAUCUGAGUCCAGUUCCAAGGGGCCUCGGUGCUAAACACAGAAAUUUCAAGUGUAAACAAUGGCAUCCAAAUCCUUAACGGUCUCCUACUGUCUCAGAAAAUCGACUGGACAGGUUGCAGCGUGUCAAUAUGGCAGCAGCUAAACAAUGUCUACCCUUCAGUUGGACGCAGCUGCCAUGCAUCUUCCCAAUUUGAUUAAACAAAUGUUUAUAGAUUUGGACAAGCAAAAAGAAACAAAUAUCUUUCUUAAAAAAAUUUAAAACGUUGGGUUUUUAGGUCCCGCUGUAUGU